rnacentral:rRNA from 1 species
UACGUAGGGGGCAAGCGUUGUCCGGAUUCAUUGGGCGUAAAGAGUGCGUAGGCGGCCCGGCAGGUCUGCUGUGAAAACUCGAGGCUCAACCUCGAGACGUCGGCGGAAACCAUCUGGCUAGAGUCCGGAAGAGGAGAGUGGAAUUCCUGGUGUAGCGGUGAAAUGCGCAGAUAUCAGGAAGAACACCCGUGGCGAAGGCGGCUCUCUGGGACGGUACUGACGCUGAGACGCGAAAGCGUGGGGAGCGAACAGG